UACGUAGGGUGCGAGCGUUGUCCGGAAUUAUUGGGCGUAAAGAGCUUGUAGGCGGUUUGUCGCGUCUGCUGUGAAAAUCCGGGGCUCAACCCCGGACUUGCAGUGGGUACGGGCAGACUAGAGUGUGGUAGGGGAGACUGGAAUUCCUGGUGUAGCGGUGAAAUGCGCAGAUAUCAGGAGGAACACCGAUGGCGAAGGCAGGUCUCUGGGCCACUACUGACGCUGAGAAGCGAAAGCGUGGGGAGCAAACAGGAUUAGAUACCCCGGUA
rnacentral:rRNA from 1 species